rfam:Schistosoma mattheei strain Denwood, Zambia genome assembly, scaffold: SMTD_scaffold0006357
AUCCAGCUGACGAGUCCCAAAUAGGACGAAACCUGAGUUCUGGAU